rnacentral:rRNA from 1 species
UACAGAGGGUGCAAGCGUUAAUCGGAAUUACUGGGCGUAAAGAGCUCGUAGGUGGUUUGUCGCGUUGUCCGUGAAAACUCACAACUCAAUUGUGGGCGUGCGGGCGAUACGGGCAGACUGGAGUACUGCAGGGGAGACUGGAAUUCCUGGUGUAGCGGUGAAAUGCGUAGAUAUCGAGAGGAACACCUGCGGCGAAGGCGGGUUGCUGGGCCGACACUGACGCUGAUGCGCGAAAGCCAGGGGAGCGAACGGG